AACGAACGCUGGCGGCAGGCUUAACACAUGCAAGUCGAGGGGUAGCAUGACGGAAGCUUGCUUCCGUUGAUGGCGACCGGCGCACGGGUGAGUAACGCGUAUCCAACCUGCCCUUGUCCAUCGGAUAACCCGUCGAAAGGCGGACUAACACGAUAUGCAGUUCACAGCAGGCAUCUAACGUGAACGAAAUGUGAAGGAGAAGGAUGGGGAUGCGUCUGAUUAGCUUGUUGGCGGGGUAACGGCCCACUAAGGCGACGAUCAGUAGGGGUUCUGAGAGGAAGGUCCCCCACAUUGGAACUGAGACACGGUCCAAACUCCUACGGGAGGCAGCAGUGAGGAAUAUUGGUCAAUGGGCGAGAGCCUGAACCAGCCAAGUAGCGUGCAGGAAGACGGCCCUAUGGGUUGUAAACUGCUUUUAUACGGGGAUAAAGUGAGCCACGUGUGGCUUAUUGCAGGUACCGUAUGAGUAAGGACCGGCUAAUUCCGUGCCAGCCGCCGCAGUAACAC
rnacentral:rRNA from 1 species